GCCCAGGCUAUCUCUGGUCUCAUUACAAUGUUCCCAUGAUCAUCAAAAGCUCCUAUUGAAUCUGUUCUAGAAAGCAUCACUGGUCCCCUGCUCUGUAGCUCUUUUGGCAGACCAGGGGGUUGAUGUAGAAGGCAGAGCUGGAAAUGAAGCAGUUACCACCAUUUGUACUCUAAUGUUUCUUGUGGCUACCGGGACGGUCAGACGUAAAGGCCAGAGCAGAUGUCUUUAGACUCAGAAACACAGGGGAAUGGGAUGAAGAGCGAUCGUACAAAGCAGAUGCAGCUACCUGGAUCGUGAUGGUUCAUCCUGGCGGAUCCCCCCAGUCACCCAGCCUCCAUCAUGGCAGAGAAAUCGGUACUUCCAGCUUCUUCUCUUCCUAAAUCAGGCGAGCAGUAACUCCGUCUGUAUUCAGGACGGAGCAGCGGCACGUACCGGACUGGGCAGUCUGCAGCGGGACGCAGCGCCUUGCUCCGGCCGGCGGCUGCUACCAGGGGUGCAGUAGAGCAGAGACCCCCAGGGGGAAGGCUGUGCUCCGCUCUUUGCUUCGCGUCAGAAUUCCCCUCAUUCCCCCCCAGCGGGCAGUGGGCACGUGGGACUAUUUUUAACCUGGGUUUAUUUUUGCAGUCUUCCCAACGUUGCGGAGAGCUCGGGGUGACUGCGGAGCAGCGCCGUGAUUCCACCUGCAGCCCCCCAGCCCAGGGGACGUGAAGCCCAGGUCCGUCCCCGUGCUGCCUCUGCAGAAGUGUCACCUCUCCCAUGACACAGCCGUUUCCAGGGAAUAUCCCCUUCCCCAUCCCCAAGCGAAGCAGCAGCUAAUUAGGAGUGCUCUUGCAUUGCAUCGCCUGGUCCCGAGCUGUUAGCUAGCUGAUGAGCUGCUAAAUGCUUCUUUAUUUUUUGCUGCUGUAAGAGAUUAACCUAUGGCUUCAGUGGCAGAGACCCCGCAGCAGAGGCUGCAUGGAGGGGGAGGGACGCAGAGCAGCACCCGCACCGGUGCCCACCCCGCCGCCGGCAGAUGAUGGACACAGAGCGUGGGGGUGGAUACGGUGCUGUAACCGCGCUGGGGAUCAGCGU
rnacentral:lncRNA from 1 species